GACGAACGCUGGCGGCGUGCUUAACACAUGCAAGUCGAACGGAAAGGCCCUGCUUUUGUGGGGUGCUCGAGUGGCGAACGGGUGAGUAACACGUGAGUAACCUGCCCUUGACUUUGGGAUAACUUCAGGAAACUGGGGCUAAUACCGGAUAGGAGCUCCUGCUGCAUGGUGGGGGUUGGAAAGUUUCGGCGGUUGGGGAUGGACUCGCGGCUUAUCAGCUUGUUGGUGGGGUAGUGGCUUACCAAGGCGUUGACGGGUAGCCGGCCUGAGAGGGUGACCGGCCACAAUGGGAAGGGGACACGGCCGAGAGUCCUACGGGAGGAAGGAGGGGGGAAUUUUGGACAAUGGGCGAAAGCCUGAUACAGCAACGCGGCGUGUGUGAAGAAGGCCUUCGGGGUGUAAAGAAGGUGUGUAGGGAAAGAAAUCCUUGGACGUAAUACGGGAGGGGGAGGACGGUACCGGAAGAAGAAGAACCGGCUAACUACGUG
rnacentral:rRNA from 1 species